rnacentral:rRNA from 1 species
CUUCGGAUUGUAAAGCACUUUAAGUUGGGAGGAAGGUCAGUAAGUUAAUACCUUGCUGUUUUGACGUUACCAACAGAAUAAGCACCGGCUAACUUCGUGCCAGCAGCCGCGGUAAUACGAAGGGUGCAAGCGUUAAUCGGAAUUACUGGGCGUAAAGCGCGCGUAGGUGGUUCAGCAAGUUGGAUGUGAAAAGAGCGCAGCCACGUUCACGGAGACCGUGGACGUGGCUGCAAGGUGGGAACAACGGAAAGCCGGCGGCGCUAGGCCGGCGUUGGCGUGGGG